AGUGAACGCUGGCGGUAGGCCUAACACAUGCAAGUCGAACGGCAGCACAGUAAGAGCUUGCUCUUACGGGUGGCGAGUGGCGGACGGGUGAGGAAUACAUCGGAAUCUACUUUUUCGUGGGGGAUAACGUAGGGAAACUUACGCUAAUACCGCAUACGACCUACGGGUGAAAGCAGGGGAUCUUCGGACCUUGCGCGAUUGCAUGAGCCGAUGUCGGAUUAGCUAGUUGGCGGGGUAAAGGCCCACCAAGGCGACGAUCCGUAGCUGGGCUGAGAGGAUGAUCAGCCACACUGGAACUGAGACACGGUCCAGACUCCUACGGGAGGCAGCAGUGGGGAAUAUUGGACAAUGGGCGCAAGCCUGAUCCAGCCAUACCGCGUGGGUGAAGAAGGCCUUCGGGUUGUAAAGCCCUUUUGUUGGGAAAGAAAAGCAGCAGGUUAAUACCCCGCUGUUCUGACGGUACCCAAAGAAUAAGCACCGGCUAACUUCGUG
rnacentral:rRNA from 1 species